GCGGAGGGAUCAUUAAAGAGUUCUAUAACUCCCAAACCCAUGUGAACAUACCUAACGUUGCCUCGGCAGGUCGCACCUACCUUGUAGCACCCUACCCUGUAGGGCCUACCCGGGAGGUGCGGGUAAGCCUGCCGGCGGCCCACCAAACUCUGUUUGAUAUUGAAUUCUGAACCUAUAACUAAAUAAGUUAAAACUUUCAACAACGGAUCUCUUGGUUCUGGCAUCGAUGAAGAACGCAGCGAAAUGCGAUAAGUAAUGUGAAUUGCAGAAUUCAGUGAAUCAUCGAAUCUUUGAACGCAUAUUGCGCCCAUUAGUAUUCUAGUGGGCAGGACCGUUCGAGCGUCAUUUCAACCCUUAAGCCUUCGUUGCUUAGUGUUGGGAGCCUACGGCAACGUAGCUCCUCAAAGUUAGUGGCGGAGUUGGUUCACACUCUAGACGUAGUAAUUUUUUAUCUCGCCUAUUAGUUGGACUAAUCCCCUGCCGUAAAACCCCUAAUUUAUCAAGGUUGACCUCGAAUCGGUUCAGACAAACUCGCUAAAUUGAAGCAUCUUAGUCAGCGAAGGAAAAGAAACCAACAGGGAUUGCCCUAGUAACGGCGAGUGAAGCGGCAAC
rnacentral:rRNA from 1 species